rnacentral:ncRNA from 1 species
AUCUGUGGUUGAAAAUCGAUGCCAGUUGCGGGCGAAACGAUCCACGUAAGCAAAAAAAUUUUUGUGAGCAUGGCGCAGCUUAGAAGUAAGUCCUGCCGCAAUAGCGAGAGAAAUAGUAGUGGGGAGCAAAGGCUUAGGAGCGAAAUUUCCAGCAGGCGAGUGUGGGGGCAAAGACCAGGG